ACCAUAGAUAUCGCAGCCAGUCGGUAAAGAUAUUUGUUGGUAGUAGUAUUUCGCUAGAAGUAAUUCAGGUUUUAUUUGUGUGGUAGGUGACCAUAAGCAAAAAGAUUGGCUUUUGACAACUGAAGGACACCAGUAGCUAGUCUGUGUCCUUCAUAAUUGUCGGGAAUGCCAGGGAGUAUAGGAGGUUCUUACCAAUCCCUGCAAGAUGGUCGUUCAUCCGGGGACGUAUAUAGAGCAACUACUUUUAUUGGAAAAACUGGCACAACCUUAAAUCCUUCUGGGAUUUUAGAAGGUUUCAAGAAAGCCUUCAGCUUUACUUUUCCUGGUCCAAAAGAUGAAAAAUUAAUUGAAACUAAUACAUCUACAGUCAUAAGUGGAAGGAAGGAUAGCAUCAAUUCAAAAGAUAAAAUGCCAAUGUCUGGUGUGGCAGAAGAAACUGCCCUGUUGGGCACAAUGCCGUCGGACAGCAUGGACGAUAUUGAAUUGAAAAAUAUUCAACUACAUUUUCCAUCGAGUCGUUCCCUCUCAAGAGAAAAUUCUUCUAUUCAAGAGGAAGUAAUAGAAAUUGAUCGUGGCGUCGCUUUGACCGUGGCUAUUCAAGGCGUUCGAGGAAAGCCGGCCAUAAUAACAUACCACGAUUUAGGUUUAAAUUAUAUUUCCAGUUUUCAAGCCUUCUUUAAUUAUGUUGAUAUGAGAGCAUUGCUUGAAAACUUUUGCGUUUACCACGUUAACGCUCCUGGACAAGAGGAGGGGGCCCAGACGCUGCCAGAAGAUUACAUUUAUCCAUCAAUCGACGAACUGGCCAAUCAGUUGGAUUUUGUUUUGUCCCAUUUUGGAUUGAAACAAGUAAUAGGAUUUGGGGUAGGGGCUGGAGCAAACAUUUUAGCUCGAUAUGCUAUUAAUAACCCCACUAAGGUGUCUGCACUAUGUCUGAUAAACUGUGUAAGUACAGCAUCUGGAUGGAUAGAAUGGGGCUAUCAGAAAUUGAAUGCCAGACAUCUGAGAUCUAAAGGAAUGACUCAAGGUGUUCUUGACUACCUGAUGUGGCAUCAUUUUGGAAGGAAUACUGAAGAAAGAAACCAUGACUUAGUACAGGUGUACAAAAGCUAUUUCGAGAAACAUGUAAAUCCAACAAAUUUGGCUUUGCUCAUUGACAGCUACAUCCGACGAACUGAUUUAAAUAUUCAGAGAGAGAUGGAUCCUACAAAAAAAAGAGAUGCUAAUACUUUGCAAAUGCCAGUUUUGAAUAUAACAGGAGCUCUCAGUCCUCAUGCCGAUGACACGGUAACAUUAAAUGGUCGUCUAGAUCCUGCAACAUCAUCUUGGAUGAAGAUUUCAGAUUGCGGUAUGGUAUUAGAAGAGCAACCUGCCAAAGUCAGCGAAGCGUUCCGACUUUUCUUACAAGGAGAGGGUUACGCUGUACGAUUGGGUAUCAGGCGAUCCAGUAGUGCAGUAGAGGGUAAUUAGUAAUACUAUGUCAUCUCUGUAUCGCUCUUUAGUCCUGCGCACGUGAAAAGCAGAAAUAAUAUACUUUAUUUGCUCCUUUGUCUCCUAUAAAAAUGGCAAUGUUUCGAAAAGCUUCAGAAGAAGAGAUAGUCAAAACAAAACUGGAACCAAAAAUACAGGGUGUACAAUGGCCGGCAUCAAUUAUUAACAUCACAGAAAAUCCUAUAUCUGCCGUAGUCUGCUAAAGACAACCUAAUUGUUGCUUUUAUGCUUUUCAAAAGUAAUAUACUACACGAAAUGGUAAAGUAAAUUAACGCUAUGCAUAUUAUUACUGUUAUUAUUAUUCAAAAGGCAUGUGGCAUUAUACUGAUUAUUACAACAAUUUUAAUCAAAACUUAUUGUAAAUGCGCAAGUGAGUAUUGGACAAUCCUGAACAUCGGCUAAUUAUUACAUAUAUGAAUGCUAUUAUAAAAGAUUUAAACUUUGUACAUACAUUGUUUGGAUUAAUAUACAUGGUUAAAAUGAUACAGAAUUGUAAAACUACAA